CACACUCCCACACACAGAUACACAAACUCACUCACUGUCUCUCUCUCUCUCACACGCACACAGCCACAAUCUCAUACUCUCUCUCUCUCUCUCACUCACUGACUGUGUCUGUCUUUCACACACACCCCCACUCACUCACUGACUCUCUUUCUGUAAGCCCCAUCUUGCUCUCACUCUCUCAUACACACACACACAAACACACACACAUCACCUUGCCAUCCUUGACUGGCCUCUCCUGUGCUAAUCUCUCUCUCUCUCCCUGUCAGUCCUCCACGCCGCCACCCAACCAGCCCAGCCCCUGGAACAAUGGUGAAAAUUCCCAGACCCCCGGCAAUCACCUGGAGAUACAACAGCAGAACAGGAAGAGCUGGGAUACCUCACAGAGCUCCUCCUCCAGGAUGCAGAGGUCGACAUCUUCGGACUCCCUGGGCCUACGCUCACAGGGAACCAAUGGCCAACAGGUCUGGAGGAGGCAGGUCACUGUCAACUGGACCGGCCUAGACAAGUCCACGGUGUCCCGCGAGAACACUGGGCAGCAGGUGAAAGAUUGGAGGAGUCAGUCACAGCGUUCCUGCACCAUGAGUGACAGCCCAUCUGUGUCCUUACCUG